rnacentral:tRNA from 1 species
AAGUAAGAAGCGAUUAAUUGCAAUUAGUUUCGACCUAAUCUUAGAUAUUAUUAUAUCGCGUUAUUUU